rnacentral:rRNA from 1 species
UACGAAGGGGGCUAGCGUUGCUCGGAAUCACUGGGCGUAAAGGGUGCGUAGGCGGGUCUUUAAGUCAGGGGUGAAAUCCUGGAGCUCAACUCCAGAACUGCCUUUGAUACUGAAGAUCUUGAGUCCGGGAGAGGUGAGUGGAACUGCGAGUGUAGAGGUGAAAUUCGUAGAUAUUCGCAAGAACACCAGUGGCGAAGGCGGCUCACUGGCCCGGAACUGACGCUGAGACGCGAAAGCGUGGGGAGCAAACAGG